CCAAAUAGCACUCGGAUAAAGAGCGCACGCGUUAGCGCGCAUUUGUUAACACUUGACUCGCUCACAUCGACGCAAAAUGGAAGACGAUACGGGAGUGAAAUCGAGCAUUGUGAUCGGCCUCAUAGAGAACAGAGCCAAAGAGGUUGGAAUGGCUGGUUUUGAUUUACGGUCAGCCUCACUGCAUCUUUCUCAGUAUAGUGAAACUAGCAGCUCGUGUCAGAAUACAAAAUCUUUGCUCCAAUUUUAUGAUCCUGUGGUCGUCGUUGUUCCUCCUAAUAAAUAUGCACCUGAUGGUAUGGUCGGAAUUUCAGAGCUGGUUCUAAUGGCCUGUGGUUGCUUUGAUGACACCAAGGGUGCUGUACUGGUUAAAAAUCUAGCCGCCAAAGAGCCUUCAGCUCAUGGUUUGGAUGCUUACUACAAGCAAUAUUAUCUCUGCUUAUCUACUGCUGCAGCUACAAUCAAGUGUUACAGUAUUUUUCAUAUUAUUCAUCCAUUAUUCUGCUUCUAAAAGAAAGUUUCAACCGCAACAUACACAGGACAGAAGCAGAGAAAGGAGUCAUCGUCACCAACCACCCAUUGUUGGUCAAAUAAUGACGAAGACACUGAGAAUGAGGAAUAAUGUUGGUUGCCCUUGUUAAUCUUAGGGUUUGGAUAUAUUCAUAAAUGUUCCCUUAUUUUAUCUUGGGAUUAGAUAAAGUAAUAAAGAAAAUAAACAUAGAACUCGUAUAUUAUUAGCUUGUCAACAAUCCUAAUGGUUUACUAUCCAAAUUGACUCUAUAAUUUGUAUUUGUGAAUAUAUCACGCCCGGCAUGAACAGUUUUUGUUUAGGGAUAAGCCGCAUUCAUGUGAAUUAGUUUAGUUCCUGGUUUCUGUAGAAUGCAUAUCAUGCUUUAUUGCAAGAUAGAUGUUGCAUCUUCACUCUUAAGCAUUACCCUCUAUCCUUCAAAAGAAAGAAGAAUUUAGUCUGAAGUGGUUCACUCUUUUUUUUAAAAUUAAUAUAAGUGUCCGGAUUAGCUUACAUGUGCCUCGAUUAAUUUUAUGAACUCUAAAGUUAACGACCAUGUAAGCUUCCAAUGCCUUAAGAUUUGUGGGACUUGAACUAGUGACCUCUGAUAAAUAAACUUAGAAUUUCAUCAGUUAAGUUAUAUCUUUUAUUGUUUGAAUGAUUUCACUCUUAUUGAGUCUUGUAAUUGCUUGAUGUGUGUAUCUCCUGUUCAGGCACUGUGUUGCUAUCCAAUCUUUGUACCCAGGAGUGCACGAUAUAUGUACAAAAGCUCGGAUGAGCGCUAAUUCUCAAA